UUAAAAUUGAUUGUUAUGUUCUGUAAUUGUUGUUAAUAAAUCUUUCAGAAGAAAGUGUGUAAAAGUUUGACUACAGUAACCAUAUCUAACCAAGCUUCAUGUACCAAGAUAAUUAUUUCAUUUAUUUCUCAUCAGAUCAACUGUUCAUUUAUGCAGUUUAUGCUUUAUUUAUAGGUAGCAUAACUGUUACCUUUUUGUUUACAGUUCUGCAUAUAUAAUAUGACAAACCUAGGAGACUUUGCUGUAAGAGAAUUAAUCAUGUUUUUGUUUUCUUUUCUCAGGUCCGGUCAGUACCCACCACCCUUCCCUGUUCACCCACAGUUUAUACUUUUUCUUAGAAAACCAACGGCUCUUUUAAGAGCCACUUCAAUAGACCCUUUUACAGCCCACGUGAUCAAAUAGCCUGCGUGCGCAUUUUGGCAACGGAAGUGAUGUUAUUUCCCAGUGGUUCUAACGUGUAAGCAACUCAGAAAGUUUAUUAAAACGAUUUCCCCACAUCAAAACGUCUGGUUGUAGCAUUUGGUUGCACUAAUAUAAUAUAUGUUUAGUAUUUGGCCAUCUUCUAACGUCUUCUAUCCACUCCACUAUAGUACACGGAUCUGGUAACUGUGUAGAAAAUAAGUCAACUUUUUAAACUAACUUUCUCUGUCUGUGUUGCUUCACUGCUGAUUCUUGCUGUGCUUCCGUUGCCAAACUGCGUGCGCAUACGUUGCCACGUCAUCAUUGUGUACAAACAGUAAAAGGGUCACUCACUCACUCUUUCGCAAGCUUCUCUGUUUUCAAGUAUUGUAAUUUUAUUCAUUUUACUCUCUCUCUCACUGUCCAAAACACUUAGCCUAUGCCUCUUUGUCUGACCAAUGUAGUAUUGUUGAAAUGGCUGCUGAGCAAGACAGAGGGAGAGCAAAGGGUGUUAUUUUCAUAGCAGACAUGCUUCUUGCUCAAAUCAAGGCAGAGGAACCCAAGGGCAAAGCAACAGCCAUUAAAGGGAGUACAUUUAAUGUCCGAUAGGUGGAGAAAAUGCUGAAGGACGUCCACUACUAAAAAGCAGCAGAAGUGAAGAGAUACAAAGCUUCAGCUACAGUCUGUUUAUUGCCUACAGUGAGACCUCCACAUUUCUGCAAUUGUGAUCAUGCAAACAUCCAGUGUAGAGCACUUCACCUGCCCGGCAUGUACACCCAACAAUGCUCGCUCUUUGUGCAGAUGGCAACAGAAAAACCUACAGAUUCCGUCAGUCAAAAGAAAGGAGCUUUAAGCAGCCACAAACGGAGAGUUCUUUUGAACAGAUAUUGCUUGCAAGUAUUGGCCAUACCUUGAGAAGGCGUCAGUCUCCGUGUUGGAACUCAGACCUUUACUGCAGAUGAGACCUUUCCUUUCUGUCAUGCAUGCCAAGGCUCAUUCAACCAAGUGUCAGGUAAUGCAUAUUCUUUAUCGUACCAUUUGAAACUGUAUUUGUAUUACUUAUUAAUACACUGUAACUGUUUAUGGUUGUAAUAUAGGUGUCACACAUUUGUUAGAUAAUCUGGCAAAAAUCAGGAAGGUGCUGGUACAACUGCAGUUGAGGAGGUCAAAAUGGUCAACAGCUACCUGUCUCGUUGUGGCCUCACAACCAAGUAUCUAAUUGAUGCCUAUUUAUAAUAUUUUAGGAAACCUGUCUUUAUUUUUUCACUUUUUUAUUCUUUCUGUCUAGUACUUUGAGAUUGCAUAAGAGUAAGCUGUAACUGUUCAAAGUACAUAAAAAUUGGCAUGUAGUUCUCUCUUAAAUUUUAAACUCAAUUGUCAGUUUCUGGAUUAAUUGAAAUACGACAAGCAUUAAUGGGACCUUUCUUCCUUCAUCACAUACAUGUCUUGUUAAUAGCCAGGAAUGACAUGCUAACUGUCCAUGCUAUUGGGUGGAACCAACGGAAGCAAGAAGGCCUUCAGCAUUAUCCAGCAGAUACAUCAAGAGACGGGAAGAUUUGAGCAGUGAACUGGGGUGUCCUGAGAACAUUGUGAAUCAGUGGGUACAAGAUGUCAGACAAAAGGCUACUGAUGGAUUUGGUAGGUACCAGAUGUGAUGACCUACACAACCUUCAGAAAUGAAUUGAACAAAUGUUUCUUAGUCUUCAUCGAAAAGCCAGCCUUUAUAAUCACACUGAAUCUAGCAACACCCUCACCAAGAAGAUUUCAAAAGUGCGCCUUCAAGAAGCAAAGAUCAUUGUGAUGAGGGAGAUGAGACACCACUGCACCGCACCUAUCUCAGAAGCCUGGCUAGGAACAUCAGGAAAAUGAUAUCAGAAAUGUCUUCAGGCAAAAACAGUGGCAGUUUAAGUGAAGAGUGUCAUCGCUGGCUACUGUGUCGUCUUCAGAAAAGGCUUGCAGAUGUAGAGAAGAAGUUCCAAGUUUGCUCAAGUUACAGCCAGGCUUUAGGACAGUGUUCUUCACUCCCAACCCCGGAGAGCCGGUGUCCUGCAGACUUUAGCUCCAACGUUAAUCGAACACACCUGAAAGCUAAUCAAUGUCUUCAUGAUCUCUAGAAAAUCACAGGUAUGCGUGUUUGAUUAAGGUUGGAGCUAAGCUCUGCAGGACACCAGCUCUCCAGGAUUGGGAGUGAAGAACACUGCUUUAGGACCAAAUGCUGUUUCUCUGCUGGAGGAUGAGCCUGAGGAGAUACUGGAGGACCACAAAGAGCUGGAUUAUGAGAGUUCAGAUGACAUUUUGGAUUUGGAACUCUGAACUGGUGUAUGCAUUUAGACUGUGUGUCACACUGAACUGCAGCAGGUUAGCUAUUAGGUUUCCCCUCCACCUCCGAUGUUUCACAGACUACUCCUACAGUCAACUGUGUUGCUACAACUUGCAAAUGCCACAUUUCUUUUGCAGUGGUUACUUCACCAAACUGUGCCCUUAUCAUCUUGUCAACAUAAUGACAUUUACUGUAGAAAAAUGUGCAAAUCUAUUUUGCCUGUGUUACAUAUGUUACUAUUAUUGUUGUAUAGUUUUAUACUGUAUCAAGUUUUUUUUCACAGUGAUGGUGGAUACUUUUGGAGUGAACUAACUGUAUGUCAUUAGAUGAAAUACUUUACAUAAAUGACUGAUCAAUAGCCUACCCAUAUUUGAUGCAUGAGUUAAUACUGUUGUUACCUUUUCAAUGAAAGGAAAUGUUUUACAAUGCCAUUUUCUUGAGGUAACUAUUAAACUGUUUCAUAUAUGUACCUGCAAAAUUGUUUACUUUUCCCUGUUUUGAAAAUGAGAUGUAAAACUGCUUUAUUUAUUUAUGCCUUAAAAAUAUAUGAUAGUUUAAUACAGGGUAAAUAAUAAAAACUUGUUAAUUAGUAUAUACAGUUGUGUUGUAUUAUUUAUGGCAUAGUUGUUAUAAUUAAUACAAGUUUUUCAUUACACUGCUGCAUAACUUUGCUCUAGAUAAUAGUAGGGUAUUAACACUAGACAGUUCAAAGAUGAUUAACUUUUAAGUUAUGUAUACUAUCAAUACAUAUAUUUACAUAUAGUAUGUGUGAAUGCUUUUGGUCUUUGAUUAAAUGCUUGUCAGCACGGGAAAGUGCUUUGUAAAUAAAGUUAUUUUUAUU